UAGAACUGGGUGUACUUGUCGAAGUAGUC
rnacentral:sRNA from 1 species